UGCUGAAACACCAACUCCAAUACAAUCACCAAAGUUAAGCAACAUUAAGCCUGGUCAGUACCUAGAUGGGUGAGCACUUGGGAAUUCCAGGUGCUGUAAG